rnacentral:rRNA from 1 species
GUGCCAGCAGCCGCGGUAAUACGGAGGAUGCGAGCGUUAUCCGGAUUUAUUGGGUUUAAAGGGUGCGUAGGCGGGCUUUUAAGUCAGCGGUGAAAGGUUCGAGCUUAACUCGGACACUGCCGUUGAAACUGAUAGUCUUGAGUGCAAAUGAGGUAGGCGGAAUGUGUUGUGUAGCGGUGAAAUGCAUAGAUAUAACACAGAACUCCGAUUGCGAAGGCAGCUUACUGGGAUGCAACUGACGCUGAUGCACGAAAGCGUGGGUAUCAAACAGGAUUAGAUACCCUGGUAGUCCACGCAGUAAACGAUGAAUACUAACUGUUUGCGAUAUACAGUAAGCGGUACAGCGAAAGCGUUAAGUAUUCCACCUGGGGAGUACGUUCGCAAGAAUGAAACUUAAAUGAAUUGGCGG